GCAGUAGUGGUCCAGUGGUAGAAUUCUCGCCUUCCAUACUGGAGACCCAGGUUCGACUCCCGGCCAGUGCA
rnacentral:tRNA from 1 species